rnacentral:rRNA from 1 species
UUAAAUUGAAGAGUUUGAUCAUGGCUCAGAUUGAACGCUGGCGGCAGGCCUAACACAUGCAAGUCGAACGGUAACAGGAAACAGCUUGCUGUUUCGCUGACGAGUGGCGGACGGGUGAGUAAUGUCUGGGAAACUGCCUGAU